GCCCCAGAUGACUUUUAAGAUGUUUAUAUCAUUGAAAAAGCUCCAAAUUAUCUCCCUUUGGUGCAAAAAUGCCAUUUGUUGACAUUAAAUUUCAUUAUCUUUUUUAACUCAUCGGUGACCUAUAUUUUUUAUUAUUGUUUUUAAAUAAGCUGUAAAUAAACUAAAUAAUUGUAAAAUUUAAGCGAUUUCUGUAAUUAGGUUUUUUUUUUCUUUUUCGAUAUAACCUCUAUUUCUUCUAUUAUAGCUCAACAGAAAAAAGGACAUUAACAAAAAUGUAUGCUUCUUCCAGAGGCAGAUUGUGAGCUUAAGUCAAC
rnacentral:lncRNA from 1 species